rnacentral:rRNA from 1 species
GACGAACGCUGGCGGCGUGCUUAACACAUGCAAGUCGAACGGAAGGGCCCUGCUUUUGUGGGGUGCUCGAGUGGCGAACGGGUGAGUAACACGUGAGUAACCUGCCCUUGACUUUGGGAUAACUUCAGGAAACUGGGGCUAAUACCGGAUAGGAGCUCCUGCUGCAUGGUGGGGGUUGGAAAGUUUCGGCGGUUGGGGAUGGACUCGCGGCUUAUCAGCUUGUUGGUGGGGUAGUGGCUUACCAAGGCUUUGACGGGUAGCCGGCCUGAGAGGGUGUCCGGCCACAUUGGGACUGAGAUACGGCCCAGACUCCUACGGGAGGCAGCAGUGGGGAAUAUUGCACAAUGGGCGGAAGCCUGAUGCAGCAACGCCGCGUGCGGGAUGACGGCCUUCGGGUUGUAAACCGCUUUCGCCUGUGACGAAGCGUGAGUGACGGUAAUGGGUAAAGAAGCACCGGCUAACUACGUG